UUACGGGAGGCAGCAGUAGGGAAUCUUCCGCAAUGGGCGAAAGCCUGACGGAGCGACGCCGCGUGAGCGAAGAAGGCCUUCGGGUCGUAAAGCUCUGUUGUGAGGGACGAAGGAGCGCCGUUCGAAGAGGGCGGCGCGGUGACGGUACCUCACGAGGAAGCCCCGGCUAACUACGUGCCAGCAGCCGCGGUAAUACGUAGGGGGCGAGCGUUGUCCGGAAUUAUUGGGCGUAAAGCGCGCGCAGGCGGUUCCUUAAGUCUGAUGUGAAAGCCCACGGCUCAACCGUGGAGGGUCAUUGGAAACUGGGGGACUUGAGUGCAGGAGAGGAGAGCGGAAUUCCACGUGUAGCGGUGAAAUGCGUAGAGAUGUGGAGGAACACCAGUGGCGAAGGCGGCUCUCUGGCCUGCAACUGACGCUGAGGCGCGAAAGCGUGGGGAGCAAACAGGCUUAGAUACCCUGGUAGA
rnacentral:rRNA from 1 species